GUUCUACUGAGACUGCUUGGAGAGUAUACUGAGACCCUUUACUGCAGCUAAAGAACAUCACCUACAUGAACAUCUACAACCUGUUCUUGGAACAACAGCAAGAGGAGGGAGGAGACAGUCAUUAAAAAGGCAGCAUCGAAAUGAAAGGAACUAUCAGCAGCUCAAAAUACAGAAUUAAUGUCCAGAGUGACCUUGACAAAUGGAAGAAUGAAAAAAAAACCAACUUCUUCAGUAAACAUAAAAUUACAAGUUUAAGAUCUGUGGGCAAAAGCUUCUUGGGUCACAAGUUGAAAAGGAGACAAAACAGCUGAGUGAGAGCUUCCUUCUGCAACAUUUAUGAUGGAGAAAUAAACAUGUGGUCAGUUAAAUAAUCUUUCAUUCUUUUCAGCACAAAAAAAGGAUUUAAUUAUUUAUUUAUUUAUUUUGUGAUUCUUAGUUUUAAUUUUUAGCUGUAAGUCAUGAGAUCCAAAUUCUUCCAGUCACACUUGCCAGAAAACUAGCCUGUACAGUUGGCUUCAGUAGCCAACGUGCUAUAAUCCCUGAAUGUCCACUGAACUUUAUGCAGCCUUUUAACCUUUAGUUAAUGCACUCCCUUUACCCAAAAACACGAUGUGGAUCUUGAGAUAGUCAUGAGUUUGCUUUUUCUCACACUUGAUUUAUCAACAGCCUGGUCUGGCUAACCUUGUUAAGAAAUAAAAAAUCUCAAGUGUAAAGUCAUGGUCCUUUUCCACUGACGUAAUUUGGUCCAGGAUUUCAAUCAAGGAUAUAAAGGGAUUAAUCACAUGUCACAUGGCAGCACAAAGCUGUUGUGAAACUCACAUUGUCCAACCUGUGAUCUGUCCAACCACAUGGCUGUGCUCCCACAUUUUGAUACUCAGUACUGGAAGAGUCUCUGAACUGAAGCUGUAGUGCAAAAGAGGAAGAUUUUACAACUGCUCCAUAAAUACAUAAUUUACGACAAAGCUUUAUGUCUCAGUAAUGACCUGUCUUGAGUCUCUUCAGCCUUCAGGUGAAGUUUGGAGUGUCCCAGACAAUUAUGUACGAGAAUCAGAGGGCACAAUAAGAUAAAUUGCUCACACUGAUGAUGAAACUGUGAGGAGCACAGUAGAACACCAGGAUUUCAGAAAGAAAUGUGAAAAUGUUUACAAGUCCCCAGCACUCAGCUGUUAGGUCAUUCCAGGUACAGAGAGAGUAUGAGAAAAGACAUAGAAAUGUGGUUAGAAAAAGAGAAGGAAGGAGCUUCCAGGCAAGGUGAGUCAGCAGGACUUGGGCACAUAGCUGUAGGCAGAAAUGAAGUCUGAAACGCAACAAGAACCAGAGCAGCACAACUUGGAAAUGAGUUUGGGUUGUUUAAAUGAGGACAAACACCUGCAAGUGGGUCUGAUUGAGGCCUCAGUGCUUCAUUCAGGACUGAAGUUAAGACAAAUAAGAACCUUUUUGUGAUAUUCAGAGCUGUGAUAUACAUCCCCACUUUGUUGCUUCAUUAUGCAGCUGUGUAAAGAUAAUUGAGAGAACUAUGCUAGAUUUUUCAUCAACAAGCAAUAAAAUGUGAUAAAUAUGUUACAUGGAAUGGCAAAUGUUAGAAUUAAUAAGCUGAAAUGUUGACGAAUUACUGUUUAUAUACUUGACAUGUAAUAAUUGCUUCAUUUAUCAUCUGAAUCUGGAAAACUUAAAUAGCAGGCAUUUAUAAUUAAUUUUCUCCUCUUGUAAGCUGCAAUUCAUUCCACAGUCAAAGGAGUCAGUGUUAAUUUCUUUUCUAUCAGCCACAGGCCAUAAGUUAAUGCAUUAAAGAAAAAUCAGAACAUUUAAAAUAACAGUCUAAUUAAAUUAUAUCCUCCACUGUUGGAGAAAAACACAUGAUUCUUCAGGAGAUAAUCAGUUACCACAGUAAACACCAUUUAGUUCUUCUCACAAAUUUGUGUCUACCCAGUGGCAAUUUUAGACUGUCAAGAAGAAGAAUUUUCUUUACUGAGUAGAUGAAGAAUAUUGACUUCAGCCUCAUUAGCAACUUCAAAUGAGAAUGACAAUGGGAGUUCAUUAAAUAAUAAUUUUCCAUGCACUGAGUUUCUUUCAUCAAGCAGAAGAAUAUGCUUUAUGUAGAGUCUGACAAAGCCCACAUUUCUGCUUCAUGCUUCUUAGCCGAUCAGCUAGAAAACGCCUUCUCCUCAGGGU